GGUAACAUCUUUAGCUUACCCGUACUAAUCGGUCGUGAGGCUUGAUCAUA
rnacentral:rRNA from 1 species